CACCCAAUAGCAUGUGGUGUGCACCUGCCCUCCUUUGUAGGUUGGAAAUAAGUUGUAGGCAGGAGGUCCCUGUUCAAUUCGGGGUUGGGUGA